UACAGAGGAUGCAAGCGUUAUCCGGAAUGAUUGGGCGUAAAGCGUCUGUAGGUGGCUUUUUAAGUCCGCCGUCAAAUCCCAGGGCUCAACUCUGGACAGGCGGUGGAAACUACCAAGCUGGAGUACGGUAGGGGCAGAGGGAAUUUCCGGUGGAGCGGUGAAAUGCGUAGAGAUCGGAAAGAACACCCAGGGGGAAACCAGCCGACUGGGCAUCUGCUGACGCUGAGGUGCGAGAGCGUGGGGAGCGAACCGG
rnacentral:rRNA from 1 species